GGUGGGGUUCCCGAGCGGCCAAAGGGGGCAGACUGUAAAUCUGCUGCGGAAUGCUUCGGUGGUUCGAAUCCACCCCCCACCACCA
rnacentral:tRNA from 2 species